UGAGGUUGAAUCAGCACAGAUCUUGGGCC
rnacentral:piRNA from 2 species